rnacentral:rRNA from 1 species
UCGAGGGGAAACGAUAUUGGAAGCUUGCUUCCGAUAGGCGUCGACCGGCGCACGGGUGAGUAACACGUAUCCAACCUGCCCACCACUUGGGGAUAACCUUGCGAAAGUAAGACUAAUACCCAAUGACGUCUCUAGAAGACAUCUGAAAGAGAUUAAAGAUUUAUCGGUGAUGGAUGGGGAUGCGUCUGAUUAGCUUGUUGGCGGGGUAACGGCCCACCAAGGCAACGAUCAGUAGGGGUUCUGAGAGGAAGGUCCCCCACACUGGUACUGAGACACGGACCAGACUCC